GAUGAAGAACGUAGCGAAAUGCGAUAAGUAGUGUGAAUUGCAGAAUUCAGUGAAUCAUCGAAUCUUUGAACGCACAUCGCGCCCUUUGGUAUUCCUUAGGGCAUGCCUGUUCGAGCGUCAUUUAAACCUUCAAGCUAAGCUUGGUGUUGGGUGACUGUCCGCUUCACGGCGGACUCGCCUCAAAAUUAUUGGCGGCCGGUACAUUGGCUUCGAGCGCAGCAGAAACGCGAACUCGGGCCCGUCGUAUUGGCUCCCAGAAGCUAUCUUCACAAUUUUGACCUCGGAUCAGGUAGGGAUACCCGCUGAACUUAAGCAUAUCAAUAAGCGGAGGA
rnacentral:misc_RNA from 1 species